rnacentral:piRNA from 1 species
UGCCUGUAGUGUGGCAGCUACUCAGG